UCCGUAGGCGGUGUAGCAAGUCGAUAGUGAAAUCUCUGGGCUUAACUCAGAGGCUGCUAACGAAACUGCUAUGCUAGAGUGUGAGAGAGGCGAGUGGAAUUACGGGUGUAGCGGUGAAAUGCGUAGAUAUCCGUAGGAACAUCCGAGGCGAAGGCGGCUCGCUGGAUCACAACUGACGCUGAGGGACGAAAGCUAGGGGAGCAAACAGGAUUAGAUACCCUGGUAGUCCUAGCCCUAAACCAUCAGGACUUGGGGUUUGCCCUGUACGGGGCAAGUCCCGUAGCUAACGCGUUAAGUCCUGCGCCUGGGGAGUACGGUCGCAAGGCUAGAA
rnacentral:rRNA from 1 species